rnacentral:lncRNA from 1 species
GAACAGAUUCCCGCGGACACGCGCGGCGCGGGCCGCGGUUAAAAUUUAUCGUUUUUUUCCUACUCUUUAUGAAUAAUAAUAAUAAAUAUUAUCGCCACUUAUUAUCACGCGCUCCGGCAGGACUCACGGACAGUCGUGUAUCCAAAUUAAAACGCAGGAAUAUAUGGAACGGCGCACAACUAUACGCAGUACGGGUACGCGUUAUAGUUUAAUAAUAUUUCAGAAGGCGUAUCUGUUAUAAUAUGUGAGGUAGGUACGGCGGUAUCGCGCACAGCGUUUCGGUUUCGGGAGAAUCCGGAUUUUCGGACCCCCGAAGGCAAAAAAAAAAAAAAAAAGAAAAAAAAAAAACGUUUGUUCGCCUAUGUAUUCGCCGUAUCGCGCGUGUUGCGCUCGUACUCGUACGUUGAAUCGGCGGUCGCGAGCGACGACUACAGCGGUCCGCGCGAGAUGAUUUACGAUUUUUCAUUAUAAUAAUAUUAUUGUAUUGCGCGUUUCCGAGAUGGAAAAAAAAAAAAAAAAGUAUAAAUAAAAAUAGCGAUCGGCCCGCGGACAAGUCGGCGGCGGCGACUUGUGAUGAUAAUAAUAACACGACUGUGAGGAGCGCGAGCCGCCGGACCGGCGCGCGAAAUCCGUGGAAAAAAAAUAAUAAAAAUGUAUAAUAUUCUUGUUCCGGCCGUGUCUACAUGUACAGUAUUUUUUUUUUUUUUUUUUCGUAAAAGCGAAUUUCGUCCGGCCGGUGGAUCGGUCGUUUUCCGAUUUUACGCGUAGUUUUACGUUCGCGGGCCGAGAAAACCGACGAACUUUCGAUUUCUUCGAACUUGUGAUUAACUUCGCGUACAAUUUUAAUGGAUUUCCGAUUGGCCGAACGUGGCCAAACAUUGUUCGAAUAAAACUAGAAAUCGUCAGAAUGUUUUGAAAAUAUCUUGACCGCGUCUAGAAAAGACCGAUUCCGUAAAAACGUUGGGGUCUCACGACAAUUUUUACCCGAUUUGGAAAAUAACAAAAUAGUUACUCGAGACCGGGGAAACGUGACAAAUUUAUUGAAAUAUCGUUGCAGGAAAGUUCGCGAAAUUCGCGAUCUCGACGACGCGAACAGUCAGUUAUAGUGAUUGUCGCCCGAAAACAAUCCCAACCCCAAAGGUUUACACCGCGGCAGCGUGUGUAUACCGUAUACGGAUUUUCUGUUAUAGGACUUUACGACGGUCGUCGAAAAACCGUACGCCAUUUUUACGCAAAAUAUUUCGCGAUCAUUGUCCGCGGAAUAACGUGAAUAUAAUAUCAUUGUCGUCGUUUUCACUUUCCAUUCUAAUCUUUUUUGAACCGCCGCCACGGCACAAUGCCGUAUUGUCCGCUGCUGUAUCGUAUUCGCUACCCGUAGGUGUGCAUAAUGAUUACAAUAUUAUUAUUAUAAGGCUACCGAUCACGCGUUUAUAUUUCAUGAUGUAUACAUAAAGGUAGCCCCGUUGUACCCGGUUCGGAAAAGAAAGUUAUGCAUACGGUGGCGGUAAUGCGUGAUUUGUCGUACACCGCGUACGGCCGCCGCGAAAACAACAACCGAUUUCGAGCGUUCGUAGAGCGCCGCGAAACGGUAUUUUGUUAACGAAUCGAAAAUGCCCAACGACGGCUGCGGU